rnacentral:sRNA from 1 species
UUGUCUGCAAAAAUGUGAAGUACAUGCUACUUAUAGCCAAAUAUUCCGAAACCCUAAUACUCAAAACGACGAAGUAUUGGGACGGAUUAAAAACUGUACUCGACCCAUGUGGUCGAGUGAGAGGUCGAGUGAAUAGCUGGAGUCUUCUUUUCUUCCUUGUGCUCGAGUGUCUGGUUAAGUGCGGAAUGAAGAAGGCUUUGAAGCUUGUCAUCGAGUAUGCAGUCGAGUGGUGGUGAUGGUGAUACUCGACUUCCAGGUAGAGUGAUGAGGUCGUGUACUGGUCUGGCAAUGAAGGUGAAGACACUCGACCUCGUGGUCGAGUGAUGUGAUCGAGUGAUGGUCAGGUGAUGGAGAUGAAGACGCUCGACCUCGUGGUCGAGUCGUGAGGUGAAGUUGUGAUGUCUUCUACUCGACCUGGGGGUCGAGUGGUCUCUUGAGAUCUUGAAGCUCCUACUCGACC